UACGUAGGGUGCAAGCGUUAAUCGGAAUUACUGGGCGUAAAGCGUGCGCAGGCGGUUGUGCAAGACAGAUGUGAAAUCCCCGGGCUUAACCUGGGACUGCAUUUGUGACUGCACGGCUAGAGUGUGUCAGAGGGGGGUAGAAUUCCACGUGUAGCAGUGAAAUGCGUAGAUAUGUGGAGGAAUACCGAUGGCGAAGGCAGCCCCCCUGGGGAUAA
rnacentral:rRNA from 1 species